UGGAAAGUCCCGUUAUUUAGGUGU
rnacentral:miRNA from 1 species